UACAGAGGUCUCAAGCGUUGUUCGGAUUCAUUGGGCGUAAAGGGUGUGUAGGUGGCGCCGUAAGUCGGGUGUGAAAUUUCGGAGCUUAACUCCGAAACUGCAUUCGAUACUGCGGUGCUUGAGGACUGGAGAGGAGACUGGAAUUCAUGGUGUAGCAGUGAAAAUGCGUAGAGAUCAUGAGGAAGACCAGUGGCGAAGGCGGGGUCUCUGGACAGUUCCUGACACUGAGACACGAAGGCCCAGGGGGAGCAAAACGGGG
rnacentral:rRNA from 1 species